rnacentral:hammerhead_ribozyme from 1 species
AUUCAGCUGACGAGUCCCAAAUAGGACGAAGUGACGCGUAUCCUGGAU